GAUGAACGCUGGCGGCGUGCCUAAUACAUGCAAGUCGAGCGAACAGACGAGGAGCUUGCUCCUUCGACGUUAGCGGCGGACGGGUGAGUAACACGUAGGUAACCUACCUAUAAGACUGGGAUAACUUCGGGAAACCGGAGCUAAUACCGGAUAAUAUUUCGAACCGCAUGGUUCGAUAGUGAAAGAUGGCUUUGCUAUCACUUAUAGAUGGACCUGCGCCGUAUUAGCUAGUUGGUAAGGUAACGGCUUACCAAGGCAACGAUACGUAGCCGACCUGAGAGGGUGAUCGGCCACACUGGAACUGAGACACGGUCCAGACUCCUACGGGAGGCAGCAGUAGGGAACCUUCCGCAAUGGGCGAAAGCCUGACGGAGCAACGCCGCGUGAGUGAUGAAGGUCUUCGGAUCGUAAAACUCUGUUAUUAGGGAAGAACAAACGUGUAAGUAACUGUGCACGUCUUGACGGUACCUAAUCAGAAAGCCACGGCUAACUACGUG
rnacentral:rRNA from 1 species